rnacentral:tRNA from 1 species
GCCUGGUUGGCUCAGUCAGUAGAGCACGCGAUUCUUGAUCUCAGGGUCAUGAGUUCAAGCCCCAUGUUGGGCA